rnacentral:rRNA from 1 species
GACGAAGGAUGCAAGCGUUAUCCGGAUUCAUUGGGUUUAAAGGGAGCGUAGGCGGAUUGGUAAGUCAGUGGUGAAAUCUUCGAGCUUAACUCGGAAACUGCCAUUGAUACUAUCAAUCUUGAAUUAUCUGGAGGUAAGCGGAAUAUGUCAUGUAGCGGUGAAAUGCUUAGAUAUGACAUAGAACACCCAUUGCGAAGGCAGCUUACUACGGAUAUAUUGACACUGAGGCACGAAAGCGUGGGGAUCAAACAGG